UCCGGUUUGGCACCGGCAGUCCUCCCAGAGUCCCCGCCUUGACGCGCUGGCAACUGGGAGCGGGGGUUGCGCUCGUUGCGGGACUUAACCCGACAUCUCACGACACGAGCUGACGACAGCCAUGCAACACCUGUGUACGCUGGUAUUGCUACCUCGUCAGGCUUUCACCCUUCUACUACGUACAUGUCAAGGCCAGGUAAGGUUCUUCGCGUUGCAUCGAAUUGAGCCACAUACUCCACCGCUUGUGCAGGCCCCCGUCAAUUUCUUUGAGUUUUAAUCUUGCGACCGUACUUCCCAGGCGGCACGUUUAUCGCGUUGGCUACGCCACAAGUGGGUUCGAAUCCACUUACAGCAAACGUGCACCGUUUACAGCUAGGACUACC
rnacentral:misc_RNA from 1 species